GCCGCUAUAACUCAGUUGUACAGAGUCAUUGGUUUCUACCCAAUUGGUCGGGGGUUAGAGUCCCUCUAGCGGUGCCA
rnacentral:tRNA from 1 species